UACGGAGGGUGCGAGCGUUGUCCGGAAUCACUGGGCGUAAAGGGCGCGUAGGCGGCCUGAUAAGUAGGGGGUGAAAUCCUGCGGCUUAACCGCAGGGCUGCCUUCUAAACUGUCAGGCUCGAGCACAGUAGAGGCAGGUGGAAUUCCCGGUGUAGCGGUGGAAUGCGUAGAGAUCGGGAAGAACAUCAGUGGCGAAGGCGGCCUGCUGGGCUGUUGCUG
rnacentral:rRNA from 1 species